GAAAAGAUCUACAGAAAAUAAACUCAAAACAACUAAGAAAAUGGUAACAGGAUCGUACACAUUGAAAAUUACCUUAAAUGUAAAUGGAUUAAAUGUAUCAACCAAAAGACAUAGACUAGCUGGGCGGAUGAAAACAUGUUCAUCUAUGCACUUCCACUUACCACAUCACUCUGCUUGAACACCCCAAAUUCACAACCAGUUCUUCUUUCCUCUGCAGCUGAUUGGCUCUGGAGUGUGGCCAGAAACCUACUUCCCGCAGUUAAAGGAGUCAGAUCUCUGUUGAUCUGUUUUCUUCUCUUCUGAGUGAUGGCGCUCACCAUUUUAAUCCUCCGGCUGGCCGUCUGCAUCCUGGCAUUUCCCAUGUACCUGCUGGACUUUCUGGGCUUGUGGAACUGGAUAUGCAAACAGUGGUUCCCCUACUUCCUGGCGAGGUUCACUGUGAUGUACAACAAACAGAUGGCGAGCAAGAAGCGGGAGCUCUUCAGCAACCUGCAGGAGUUCACGGGCCCCUCUGGGAAGCUCUCCCUGCUGGAGCUGGGCUGUGGCACCGGGGCCAACUUCAAGUUCUACCCCUCUGGAUGCCAGGUGACCUGUGUUGAUCCCAACCCCAACUUUGAGAAGUUCUUGAUCAAAUGCAUUGCCCAGGCCGACACCUGCAGUUUGAGCGCUUCAUAGUGGCUGCCGGGGAGAACAUGCACCAGGUGGCCACAGGCUCCAUGGAUGUGGUGGUCUGCACCCUGGUGCUCUGUUCCGUGAAGAACCAGGAGCAGAUCCUCCAGGAAGUGCGCCGAGUGCUGAGGCCGAAACUAGUUUUAAAUAGAAGCUUGGUGUACUGCAGUCCACGGGAUCACAAACAGUCGGACACAACUGAGAAACUGAACAACAACAAUUCUAAACGAAGCUGAACAUACAUAAAAUAUGAGUAUUUUAACAUUUGAAUUUACUCUUCUAGGGGAAAAAGAUGGUCUGUAAUCCCCAGUUUUAUUUUCUCCCAUCCAAGUACUAACCAGGCCCAACCCUGCUUAGCUUCUGAGAUCAGACGAGAUGGCCAUGUUUAGGGUAAUACUGCCGUAGACCACAGUUUUAUUUUCUAACAGAGGAAGCUCCUCAGAAAGAAAGGGACUUGAAGAUAGUGUUUAGAGGCUAUAAUAUACAGUUGUCCCUCAGAGUCACUCCCUGCCCCCACCACAGAUACCAAAAGCUAUACAAGCUCAAGUCCCUUACAUAAAAUGGUAUCGAAUUUGCAUAUGAUCUAUGCAUAUCCUCCCACAUACCUUAAAUCAUCUCUAGAUUACUUUUAAUACCUAAUACAAGGUAAAUGCUAUAUAAAUAGUUGCCAGCAUGUGGGAAAUUCAAGUUUGGCCUUUUUUGAAUUUUCUGGAUUUUUUUCCCCAAUAUUUUUGAUCUGUUGGUUGAAUCCAUGGAUGCAGAACCUGUGGAUACAGAGGGCCGACUGUAAUUCUGUGUUUGGCUCAAGAAUAGGCCACCAUCAAAACUGUAACGGAAAAAGGUCUGAUUCUGACAUUCAAAUCCUGGGUUCUUCUGUCCCAAGACUGGGCAUUAACUGGGCACAUUUAAGAGACAUUUUGCUUAUGUGUUACUAAUCUCACAAUGCCUCUGCAAAGCAAAUAAUGAUCACCUCGGGUUUAAGCACUGAGAAUGCUCUUAGGGGAUCGUAAGUCUUCCUUUAGCUCCUACAAAGCACCCACUCACUGCUGCAUAGAACCAGAGGCUUUCCUGCAUUCUCAUUCACCCCAUCACACAGUCCUU